rnacentral:rRNA from 1 species
UAAGCAUAUCAAUAAGCGGAGGAAAAGAAACCAACAGGGAUUGCCCUAGUAACGGCGAGUGAAGCGGCAACAGCUCAAAUUUGAAAUCUGGCCCCCGGGUCCGAGUUGUAAUUUGUAGAGGAUGCUUUUGGUGCGGUACCUUCCGAGUUCCCUGGAACGGGACGCCAUAGAGGGUGAGAGCCCCGUCUGGUUGGACGCCAAUCCUUUGUAAAGCUCCUUCGACGAGUCGAGUAGUUUGGGAAUGCUGCUCUAAAUGGGAGGUAUAUGUCUUCUAAAGCUAAAUAUUGGCCAGAGACCGAUAGCGCACAAGUAGAGUGAUCGAAAGAUGAAAAGCACUUUGAAAAGAGAGUUAAAAAGUACGUGAAAUUGUUGAAAGGGAAGCGCUCAUGACCAGACUUGGGCCCGGUUGAUCAUCCAGGGUUCUCCCUGGUGCACUCUUCCGGCCCAGGCCAGCAUCAGUUCGCUGUGGGGGAUAAAGGCUUCGGGAAUGUGGCUCCUCCGGGAGUGUUAUAGCCCGCUGCGUAAUACCCUGUGGCGGACUGAGGUUCGCGCAUCUGCAAGGAUGCUGGCGUAAUGGUCAUCAGCGACCCGUCUUGAAACACGGACCAAGGAGUCGUCUUCGUAUGCGAGUGUUCGGGUGUUAAACCCCUACGCGGAAUGAAAGUGAACGCAGGUGAGAGCUUCGGCGCAUCAUCGACCGAUCCUGAUGUUCUCGGAUGGAUUUGAGUAAGAGCAUACGGGGCCGGACCCGAAAGAAGGUGAACUAUGCCUGUAUAGGGUGAAGCCAGAGGAAACUCUGGUGGAGGCUCGCAGCGGUUCUGACGUGCAAAUCGAUCGUCAAAUAUGGGCAUGGGGCGAAAG